rnacentral:rRNA from 1 species
AUUCUGGCGACCAGAGUGCUGUGGCUCUACCUGACUCCAUUCCGAACUCAGAAGUAAAACGCAGUAACGCCGAUGGUAGUGUGGGGUUUCCCCAUGUGAGAGUAGGGCAUCGCCAGAUUG